rnacentral:rRNA from 1 species
UUUAUCAGAGAGUUUGAUCCUGGCUCAGGAUGAACGCUGGCGGCGUGCUUAACACAUGCAAGUCGAACGGGAAACUUUUCAUUGAAGCUUCGGCAGAUUUGGUCUGUUUCUAGUGGCGGACGGGUGAGUAACGCGUGGGUAACCUGCCUUAUACAGGGGGAUAA